rnacentral:rRNA from 1 species
AUAUCAAUAAGCGGAGGAAAAGAAACUAACAAGGAUUCCCCUAGUAACGGCGAGUGAAGCGGGAAGAGCUCAAAUUUGAAAUCUGGCAGUCUUCGAUUGUCCGAGUUGUAAUCUAUAGAGGCGUUUUCCGUGCCGGACCGUGUCCAAGUCUCCUGGAAAGGAGUAUCAAAGAGGGUGAUAAUCCCGUACUUAACACGACCACCGGUGCUCUGUGAUACGUCUUCUACGAGUCGAGUUGUUUGGGAAUGCAGCUCAAAAUGGGUGGUGAAUUCCAUCUAAAGCUAAAUAUUGGCGAGAGACCGAUAGCGAACAAGUACCGUGAGGGAAAGAUGAAAAGCACUUUGGAAAGAGAGUUAAACAGUACGUGAAAUUGUUGAAAGGGAAACGAUUGAAGUCAGUCGUGUUCUUUGGAUUCAGCCAGUUCUGCUGGUCUACUUCCUUUGAACGGGUCAACAUCAGUUUUGUCCGGUGGAUAAAGGUAGUAGGAAUGUGACUUCUCCGGAAGUGUUAUAGCCUAUUAUCACAUACACUGGGUGAGACUGAGGACUGCAGCUCGCCUUUAUGGCCGACCUUCGGGUACGUUCGAGCUUAGGAUGUUGACAUAAUGGCUU